UAGGGAAUCUUCCGCAAUGGACGCAAGUCUGACGGAGCAACGCCGCGUGAGUGAGGAAGGCCUUCGGGUCGUAAAGCUCUGUUGCCAGGGAAGAACGGGUAGGGGAGUCACUGCCCCUGCCAUGACGGUACCUGAGAAGAAAGCCCCGGCUAACUACGUGCCAGCAGCCGCGGUAAUACGUAGGGGGCAAGCGUUGUCCGGAAUUAUUGGGCGUAAAGCGCGCGCAGGCGGCUUUGUAAGUCUGGUGUUUAACCCUGGGGCUCAACUCCAGGUCGCAUCGGAAACUGCAAGGCUUGAGUACAGAAGAGGAAAGUGGAAUUCCACGUGUAGCGGUGAAAUGCGUAGAGAUGUGGAGGAACACCAGUGGCGAAGGCGACUUUCUGGGCUGUAACUGACGCUGAGGCGCGAAAGCGUGGGGAGCAAACAG
rnacentral:rRNA from 1 species